rnacentral:lncRNA from 1 species
GGACUCGCGCGGUGGAGGCCCAGGCGGCGUUUGCGGCCCAGAGCCCAGACCCAACCCGGACGUUCCACCGCCUGCGGCUCGGCACUUUCGCGGCCCUGCAAGGGCCCGCGGGCCGGGGCUGCGGACGCUCCCUUGGCUCGGCAGAAUCUGCUGGCUCGCGGAAUUCGCCCGCCUCCAUUGUUGCCCCUUCUGGCACCCACAUCCCCGGAACGUGGCCCUGCCCCACGGCCGUAAUUGUUCUCCGAAGGGCUCGGCGCUCCUUUUACCAGCCCUUCCCCUUUUUAAAGGACUUUCCCAUUCGCCUGCUUUUCCCCCCCCCGGGUUAGUGGUGCUGGGCCCCCCGCAUUUGGGGUGACGACUCAUCCCACCCUCACCCCCGUCUCGCAACUGAGAUAACCUGCACAUGAGAGGGGGCAGCGGCCCCAUUUAUGCGAACUGUUCAUUUGCUUAGAUCGGAACCGUGUGUUUUGUGGCUGUGAGUUAAAACGUGGAGGUCCAGGAAGUGACUGGCUAAAGGCAAAUCCUAUGACUUUAUCCCAAAAUGUAGGCCCGUCUUCCAGAUGACUCACGUGGUACAGUGGCUUACUCCAGAUGAGAUGGCUACAUAGUUUGCCGUUUCUUGACCAUUUGUUGAAGAGUUCACUUCGAGACUGUUUUGUUCCGAUGGCCUAUCUAUUCAUGCUCCAGUUGCUGAACAAGCCAGAAUAUAAAUAUACCUUUGUUUAAGACUCUCUGUUUGCAUGUAACGGAAACCAACCUGAAACAGCUUAACCAAAAGGAAAGAAUUUAUCAUAAGGAUGUAGGAACUUCUUACAAAUGCCCAGAGCGGGAAGACAGCUACCUCCUAGCAAAAGACUAGAACCAGGAGUUGGAAAACUUCCAGGAACCCAAAAGGAGAAUACAGCCACCUCCACAUUCAGCUAGGAAGUCAGCUCGGUGUGGGCGUCAGAGCCCAAACAAGGAGGGUAGGGAGGCGGUCCUGCAGAGUCAGGUGACUAAUCAAAGACAGGGGGACUACACAAAGAAACACUAUGUCAAGGAUAAUGGGAGCCAGAUUUCUCAUUCUUAAAAUACAGGAAAGGGAAUAGCAAGAAGGCUUGAGGGAUUGCAUUGGAAUUGGAAAUACUGAUGUGAAUACGACGUUUGCAGUAUGUGUAGAUAUAAAAAUAAAUAUAAAUGUGAAAGUAUC